GCCCGGUUAGCUCAGCCGGUAGAGCGUUGGACUUUUAAUCCAAAGGCCUAGGUUUCAAGUCCCUUAUCGGGCU
rfam:Ciona savignyi cont_26075, whole genome shotgun sequence.